CAAACGUACAACUCUAUGCGGUGGAUCACUCGGCUCGUGUGUCGAUGAAGAGCGCAGCAAACUGUGUGAAUUAUGUGAACUGCAUCCUGCCAUGAACAUCGAGACUUC
rnacentral:rRNA from 1 species